CUGGAAGUUCUCAUGGAUAAUUCCUGCUUAUCCUUCAGUUUUCAGCUUCAUGGUCACCUCCUCCAGGAGGUUUUCCUGUCCUCCCACAAAUCUGGCCUUUCACCUGCAGACACGAAGAUGUCAGUUCCUUAACCAACCACCAGGUGCCAUUUGCAGAGAUAUAUGCAUGGGAAGUGGAGGGGAGAGUGCUGAAGAAGACCGUUCUGGCUUGCCUAGCAGGUUUCCUCGGCUGCCUCCCAGACAAGCAGAGAAGAGACAGGUCUGUGGCUUUCCCCGGCAUCUACUGGAGUUUCCUGGAGAGGUGCAGAUUCCAACCCUAUCGACACGCUAGAACCAAGCAUUGGCUCCAGAGCAGUAACCCUGCAGCCAGCACAGGUGGUUUCCAGCAAGGCCAACCCUCUUGCCCCCUACAUCAGAGAUGGACCACUCAGGACCUCCCCACACCUUUCCUGGGAGAGAAGCAGCUGUGUUGUAAUUAAAAUUCUCCCAGGAAGGAAAUUUCAUUCUGGCAGCUGAAUGAAAUUUUCCACAUCUCACAAUCUUUGUCAGGAAAUUUAGAUUGCACAGAUUUUCUGGAGUCUGUUCCAUGCCAGUCACAUUUACCUUUACGUUGUCUCAGGUGAUCCUUAUCACAGCCCUGCAGGGUUGGGAGGGCAGGACUAUACCAAUUUUAGAAACUAGGAAUCUGAGGCUCAGGUGCUUUGGGUGAGUCAGUUCCCCACAGGUAGUAGCUCCUAAGGGUCAGAGCUGGGAUUUAAACCCUUUGAUCUCAAGUCCUGCAUCCUGUCUACCUGGUAAUUGGCCACAGCUCCAUCAAUAGUGCAGUCACUUUCCUCUGUGGAUGAAGCAAACAGUUCUGCAGCACUUGCCUGACAAACUCUGCAGCCACUUCCCUGAGCCAGGGACUAGCCAGAAAUCCAAUGGGGGAGGCCUGGUGUCACUCUGCCCAUGCCCCUCCAACCUGCCACAGGCCCGCCCCUUAGAGUAGAAGAUCUGGAAGAUUCCUCAGUCCUUGUCAUCCUGUCUGUCUCUACUCCUUCUGCUUUGGUCUUGAAAUGUUGAGUUGAUUAUAUUUUGUGCUCAAUCACGAGAAAUAAUCAAUUCAUAAUUAAGAGCAUCUCCCAGCUCUUUCCAAGCUUUCCUCAGCACCCCUCUCCAAGAGUUUAGCCACUCCAUUUCCUCCUACCACUACCCUCUUGCCUUUCCCUCCCACCUGCCUUUCGAGAAUGGAAUUGUUUUAAUGAGAUGUCUCUGUUACAAAUGACCGGUUUGUAGUAAUUAUAUUUAGUGUGGCAAUUGUGGUUUAAAAAUGAUUUAAAGAGGUGAAGGCUCCAAUUUAUUAGGUGUCAAAUUUCCUGUGAACUUUUACCUGGAAGCCGCUGCUUAGACACGGAGAGGGCCAUCUCUGCCACCCUGGGCUGAGCAGUAGUCCUGAAUUAUUGAUGGUUUG